UACGAAGGGGGCUAGCGUUGCUCGGAAUCACUGGGCGUAAAGCGCACGUAGGCGGCGUCUUAAGUCAGGGGUGAAAUCCUGGAGCUCAACUCCAGAACUGCCUUUGAUACUGAGAUGCUUGAGUCCGGGAGAGGUGAGUGGAACUGCGAGUGUAGAGGUGAAAUUCGUAGAUAUUCGCAAGAACACCAGUGGCGAAGGCGGCUCACUGGCCCGGUACUGACGCUGAGGUGCGAAAGCGGUGGGGAGCAAACAGG
rnacentral:rRNA from 1 species